rnacentral:rRNA from 1 species
GAUGAACGCUGGCGGCGUGCCUAAUACAUGCAAGUCGAGCGAAGCGGGGACGGGUGAAUAACACGUGGACACCUUCCUAUCAGACUGGGAUAACUUGGGGAAACCGGAGCUCAACAGGAAACUCAUAGAUGGAUCAGCGUUGCAUUAGCUAGUUGGUAGGUUAACGGCUUAACAAGGAAACGAUGUAUAGCCGACCUGAGAGGGUGUUCGGCCACACGGGAACUGGGACACGGUCCAGACUCCUACGGAAGGCAUCAGUAGGGAAUCUUCCGCAAUGGGCGAAAGCCUGCCGGAGAAACGCCGCUUGAGUGAUGAAGGUCUUCGAAUCGUAAAACUCUGUUAUUAGGGAAGCGGUACCUAAUCAGAAAGCCACGGCUAACUACGUGCCAGCAGCCGCGGUAAUUC